UUUCCCUGGCCUUCUUUAAAUAAAAAAUCAAGCAAAAGCCCAGUUAGAUCAGCUAAUACUCAAUCUGAUGCGAUAUGCUUGCCUGUUCGGAGAGUCGAUGCUGGACGUUUUAACACAUGAAUAUUGUUUGUGUAAUGUAGUCAUAAUAUUUACGCGGGGACGCAAGAGGAGUGAGGUGGAAGCUCCUCCGAACUCUGAACACAGAAACUCGGACUGGGACUUGAGAUCGACUUCUGCAGGCACUUCUCCAUCGAAUGAUCGUGGAAUUGAAAAAAGACUCAAUCCCACACAGUGAGUUCGAGCCUGUUUGGUGCCCCACCCUGGAGUCCUGCACACCUCCCAGGGCCGGUCCAUCAUGGUCUGUCUAAUGCAGGCAAAGACAUCAAUAAUGAGAGCUGAAGCAGAAACCACAGCGGAGAACACAAAAGAGAGAGGGAGGGCGCACACAGGCCACAAUUGGCUCUGCUGCAGGCUAGAGUGGGCAGGCAUGCGGCUUUGGCCACAGGAAGCUGUGAAUUCUUUGGAGAAUGGAAGAUGUCUGAUGGAGAGACAUACUGGCCCUCCACCCACCCACUCACCACCUCAAAAUGACCCCUGACCCUUUUCAUGUGUUUAUAUCAGACCGUGGAAGUGAGAAAUAGUGAUGAGUCACUCUGGCUGUGUGUUUACACUCUGGAGUCACGCAAGGAAGGAAAUCAGCCACGGUCUGCUAAAAGUGGCGAGGUGAGAGAGAAUAGCUGCAGUCCCGAGUGCUGCAGUGAUUUACCUCAGAGCCAGAAUUUGCUUCGUGUCAUCUCUGCUGUGAAAACUUUCAACCUGCAGAAAAGCACAGUAGACCUUUGUGGAAGAAAAGGGCCAAAACAAGUAGUAGCCACUGGGGAUAGGUGUGCGUAUGAGAGAGAGAUACGGCAUAUUUCAGGAAACAUAACAGUUAGAAUAAGUAAGAUAAUUAUUUCAGCAGAAUGCAUCUCAUCGAGAUGUUACAGAGUUCUUAAUAUGUUGGACUUUUGUGUUCUGUUAGAGAUGACCACGUUUAAUUUAAUUGCACUUUAAUCAUUCUCACACCUCACUGUGUUUAAACGAAAACCUACACUCGCACACAUUCACUUUGUUUUUAAGAAGAGCUGUUUUUAAAACUCAUCACUGCACAUUUAACUGUGUUAUUCAUCUUUCACAAAUAUUUUUUUAGGAGUAUUAAAUAACUAACUAAAACUGCUAUUACACUUUCACCUGGCAUUGUUUUGAACCAGGAGUUUAUGCGAUUGAGUUUUUGCAGUCGAUGAUUUUCAAAAGAAAAAACAAAGCAGCAAACAUUUGAAAACCCUUAAUUACUUUGCAGCAUAUUUUAACAUUUUACUUGAAUAUUUCAAAUGAUCUCACCCUCCUAAUUGUCUCCAGGUUGGACAAUAUCCCAAAAAAUUAUAAGAUUAUUAAAAUACUUGAUGUAUAAAUGUGAUUUCUUUUAUUUUUAAAAGCAAAGCAGAUUACAUGAAAGCAAAAAAGAGUCCUUUCUAAUGACUACAGCGAUAUACGGGUGUGAAAAUAUUUCAUAAAAGUACAAAGUUAGCCGGGUUUCUGGGUGACAUAUUUUUACUGAUAUGCAUAAAACAAUUGAAAUCUGAAAUGUAAAUUUCUGGUGGAAGACAAACAUAACACUGUUCGCUGGUCUUACUUCAUCAUUGCCAUCAAAACCAGUUGUGUUGUGCUCAGGAAGCCUUUAUGUUCAGUGUACUGUAAGGUGUGUUUACUGUGGCUUCCACCAGUGUUUCAACCACAGUGUCAUUGUUGUCCUCCACUGUGCGUGACUUUAGCUUUUAAAUUGCACAACUGUUGUUUGCGAGACAGAGCUGUAGUUACUGCCGCUGUGCUCUGUAAAUAAAAAGUGACACUUUAUUUCUUCCUGUCAUUGCACUGGUGCAAGUACCUUCAUUGCUGACUGCACCGCGUAUCCUUUUACACACCCCCGUACACACCGCCACAAUGAGAGAGUCAGCAGCUCUUAUUUUGGCCGAUCUCUCCUGAAUUGUAAGUCCUGUCAGGGGUUUUGAUUGAUAGUUGCAUUUAUCACCAUAUUAUUAAGUAAUCAGGCUCACCACAGCUGGGCCUGAAGCUCCUUAAUUCUAGCUAAAGUACACAACUUCAUGCUAAUUAAAGGUUUGGUAAACCUGUUUAUUUUCGUGAAUUUUUAGAAUAUAGUUGUGUGUGUUAUUAUGUGUUUUAAGUGUGCUGAUUAUUGCAUUUGUAUGCUCUCAGGAACAUUUAGAGCCAAGCUUUACUGCUUCAUGUUCAUAAGAAAAACUGUGAAUAAUCACAUGUGGAGAGAAAUAAUUCAUGCUUCAUAUGCUGCAUGUAGAACGUAGAAUAUUCUGCAUUAGUAAAAAAAAUAUCUACAAAAUGACUACGAGGGAAUGAGACUAAAUUCUGUAAAUAACACAAGAGGGUGAAGCAGUCUGUGUUCUGUGGAUCAGGAGAGGUUUGGUCUCGUUUUCUUAAUAGAGCCUGCAGUGAGCUGCAUUUGUGUAUUCCUGAGGUAAACACAGUCAUGGCAAAGUGGACGCGCUGCUGAGUGUGUCCUGACUGGAGACAGAGAGCACUGUGGCACUGUACUUUCUGAGACGCUGGCAGCUCUCUCGAGGUAGGGUUAAUUUGAUGAAUGGCCAUUUGCUAAUGGGCCAUGUAUUAGGGUGAAAAAGCUCCUUUAAAAGCCAUAGUUUGAGUCGUUUCUAUGGGCAAUUUGAUUUAGGAAUCAAUCAAGUGGCAGAUGUUCCAUGUUGCAUCAGUCAACUUUGUCCUAUACGCUUGCUUUUUACUUGAUAUGAAUUGCUUGAAUGACUGUGUGCAGUAAUCAAAGCAGAACAUAAUUUCAUAUAAGUUAAAACAUCAGUGAGGCCAUACCUUGAUUUUAAAAAGCAAUUCGUUUUAGCUAUUGUAUAUGUAAACUGAAUAAUGUUAAAAAUGAAAUAUAUAAUCUUAUUUUUUCUUUACCACCUCCUUAAGACUUUAGUACUUGCAGCGUUAAGUUGUCCACAGGGAAGAAACGCAAGCUGGAGUUCCAAUAAAGUUAAUUUAUGUUUUCUGUAUAUUCUGAAUUUUUUUUGUGCAGUAAGCUAAAUACCUAAAGUGGAAAGACUGACAAAUAUAUAUACAUAAAGAUUUCGUUGUACUUAUCUGCAAUAACAGUAAAAAGCUUUGUUCUUUUUUGUCUCUUUAAUGCAGAUUGUGUGUGUGUGUGUGUGUGUGUGUGUGUGUCGCAAAACUGUAAUAAUAGUGACACUAAUAAUUAUAUAUAAAAAUAUUAAACCUAUGGCUGCUGGUGUUUGUGUAAUAAUUGAUCCCGUAUUUGUUACUAUGCUUCUGUUUUUAUAUGUUUUAUGAAAAAAAACUGAACGGCUAUUUUGCAAAAAUUGACAAAGUUUCCAUGUUUUCACCAAUAAAUGUCCAAUUUCUGCACAAACUUGAAAUGCUGGUUGUGCAUUUUUGAUAUUUACCCUCCUUUCUCUACUUACAAAAUC
ensembl:lncRNA